AUUGAACGCUGGCGGCAUGCUUUACACAUGCAAGUCGAACGGUAACAGGCCGCAAGGUGCUGACGAGUGGCGAACGGGUGAGUAAUGCAUCGGAACGUGCCCAGUCGUGGGGGAUAACGCAGCGAAAGCUGUGCUAAUACCGCAUACGAUCUAUGGAUGAAAGCGGGGGACCGAAAGGCCUCGCGCGAUUGGAGCGGCCGAUGUCAGAUUAGGUAGUUGGUGGGGUAAAGGCCUACCAAGCCAACGAUCUGUAGCUGGUCUGAGAGGACGACCAGCCACACUGGGACUGAGACACGGCCCAGACUCCUACGGGAGGCAGCAGUGGGGAAUUUUGGACAAUGGGCGCAAGCCUGAUCCAGCAAUGCCGCGUGCAGGAAGAAGGCCUUCGGGUUGUAAACUGCUUUUGUACGGAACGAAACGGUCUGGAUUAAUACCCUGGGCUAAUGACGGUACCGUAAGAAUAAGCACCGGCUAACUACGUGCCAGCCGCCGCCGUAAUAC
rnacentral:rRNA from 1 species